CACAGAGAGCUUGCUCUCGGGUGACGAGCGGCGGACGGGUGAGUAAUGUCUGGGAAACUGCCUGAUGGAGGGGGAUAACUACUGGAAACGGUAGCUAAUACCGCAUAACGUCGCAAGACCAAAGUGGGGGACCUUCGGGCCUCAUGCCAUCAGAUGUGCCCAGAUGGGAUUAGCUAGUAGGUGGGGUAAUGGCUCACCUAGGCGACGAUCCCUAGCUGGUCUGAGAGGAUGACCAGCCACACUGGAACUGAGACACGGUCCAGACUCCUACGGGAGGCAGCAGUGGGGAAUAUUGCACAAUGGGCGCAAGCCUGAUGCAGCCAUGCCGCGUGUAUGAAGAAGGCCUUCGGGUUGUAAAGUACUUUCAGCGAGGAGGAAGGCGUUAAGGUUAAUAACCUUGGCGAUUGACGUUACUCGCAGAAGAAGCACCGGCUAACUCCGUGCCAGCAGCCGCGGUAAUACGGAGGGUGCAAGCGUUAAUCGGAAUUACUGGGCGUAAAGCGCACGCAGGCGGUCUGUCAAGUCGGAUGUGAAAUCCCCGGGCUCAACCUGGGAACUGCAUUCGAAACUGGCAGGCUAGAGUCUUGUAGAGGGGGGUAGAAUUCCAGGUGUAGCGGUGAAAUGCGUAGAGAUCUGGAGGAAUACCGGUGGCGAAGGCGGCCCCCUGGACAAAGACUGACGCUCAGGUGCGAAAGCGUGGGGAGCAAACAGGAUUAGAUACCCUGGUAGUCCACGCCGUAAACGAUGUCGACUUGGAGGUUGUGCCCUUGAGGCGUGGCUUCCGGAGCUAACGCGUUAAGUCGACCGCCUGGGGAGUACGGCCGCAAGGUUAAAACUCAAAUGAAUUGACGGGGGCCCGCACAAGCGGUGGAGCAUGUGGUUUAAUUCGAUGCAACGCGAAGAACCUUACCUACUCUUGACAUCCAGAGAACUUAGCAGAGAUGCUUUGGUGCCUUCGGGAACUCUGAGACAGGUGCUGCAUGGCUGUCGUCAGCUCGUGUUGUGAAAUGUUGGGUUAAGUCCCGCAACGAGCGCAACCCUUAUCCUUUGUUGCCAGCGGUUAGGCCGGGAACUCAAAGGAGACUGCCAGUGAUAAACUGGAGGAAGGUGGGGAUGACGUCAAGUCAUCAUGGCCCUUACGAGUAGGGCUACACACGUGCUACAAUGGCAUAUACAAAGAGAAGCGACCUCGCGAGAGCAAGCGGACCUCAUAAAGUAUGUCGUAGUCCGGAUUGGAGUCUGCAACUCGACUCCAUGAAGUCGGAAUCGCUAGUAAUCGUAGAUCAGAAUGCUACGGUGAAUACGUUCCCGGGCCUUGUACACACCGCCCGUCACACCAUGGGAGUGGGUUGCAAAAGAAGUAGGUAGCUUAACCUUCGGGAGGGCGCUUACCACUUUGUGAUUCAUGACUGGGGUGAAGUCGUAACAAGGUAACCGUAGGGGAACCUGCGGUUGGAUCACCUCCUUACCUUAAAGAA
rnacentral:rRNA from 1 species